UGGGCUGAACUACGCAGGAAAAGCCGCGGAAACGCGGUGUCCGUAAGGGCCUGCGAUAGGUGUUGCAUGGCUGUCGUCAGCUCGUGCCGUGAGGUGUUGGGUUAAGUCCCGCAACGAGCGCAACCCCCGUCUCUAGUUGCCAGCGAGUAAUGUCGGGGACUCUAGAGAGACUGCCGGCGAAGAGCCGGAGGAAGGUGGGGAUGACGUGUCGUUACCUUA
rnacentral:misc_RNA from 1 species